rnacentral:rRNA from 1 species
UACGUAGGGUGCGAGCGUUGUCCGGAAUUAUUGGGCGUAAAGAGCUUGUAGGCGGUUUGUCGCGUCUGCUGUGAAAUUUCGGGGCUCAACCCCGAACUUGCAGUGGGUACGGGCAGACUAGAGUGUGGUAGGGGAGACUGGAAUUCCUGGUGUAGCGGUGAAAUGCGCAGAUAUCAGGAGGAACACCGAUGGCGAAGGCAGGUCUCUGGGCCACUACUUGACGCUGAGAAGCGAAAGCAUGGGGAGCGAACAGG